CAUGUCAAUUUCACACGAAUAAAAUCCAUCAUCCGAUAACUUCAGUGGCUUACAAUUUCAAACAAUCCUUACAGUUGGACAUUAUUUAUUUUAUUCUAUUCCAAAAUAAGGAAUCAGAUUUUUUGAUUGGUUGCUAUUUCUCUUUUCUCUCUUUUUUUUUUGCAUUGUGUUAGAGAAACUUUGGGAUUCCUGUGUGCACUGCCGGUCACGUGGAAGCACCAUGAAAAACAUUCCGAGAUCGCAAGCCGUUUUUAUGCGUUUGUAGAGGAACAAGCAUUGAUAAAAAACGAUGCCUAUCAAGAACUUUCCCAAGCUGAGCGUUGUAUCGAUGAGGGAGCUUCUGCAAAAGCCAAAUUUCCCUGCGAAUUCAGCAGUUGGUGUCAUAGUUAGCCCAAGUUGGAAGGUCAAAAACCUGUGAAGUGUUGUAUCUUCUUGGCGCUCUCAGCGCUCCGGAUUUUAUUAUCCCCAAAAUUUUAUUUCAGAUUCUAGGCAAGUAAGUGACUAUCUUUUCAGGAAAAAUGACCAUUUUUGAUAGAGCAAUGUACUAGAUGCGACUUUUAAGGCCUCAAUUUGUCGGUUUAACGAUCGUUCAAAAUGAUGGAUGCGAGGCUAUAUUUGAGAAAAUCUGUCAAAUAUUCUAUUUUAACUGGAUUAAGCCGAGAUUAAAAUAAUAUUAAGAGCAUA